CAGCCGCCACGGUAAUACGAAGGGGGCUAGCGUUGCUCGGAAUCACUGGGCGUAAAGGGUGCGUAGGCGGGUCUUUAAGUCAGGGGUGAAAUCCUGGAGCUCAACUCCAGAACUGCCUUUGAUACUGAAGAUCUUGAGUUCGGGAGAGGUGAGUGGAACUGCGAGUGUAGAGGUGAAAUUCGUAGAUAUUCGCAAGAACACCAGUGGCGAAGGCGGCUCACUGGCCCGAUACUGACGCUGAGGCACGAAAGCGUGGGGAGCAAACAGGAUUAGAUACCCCCGUAGUCCCUGUCUCUUAUAC
rnacentral:rRNA from 1 species